UACAGAGGCCUCAAGCGUUGUUCGGAAUUACUGGGCGUAAAGGGAAUGUAGGUGGUUGCGUAAGUCAGAUGUGAAAGCCCUGGGCUUAACCCGGGAACUGCAUUUGAUACUGCAUGACUAGAGUGCGAUAGAGGAGUGCGGAAUUCCUGGUGUAGGGGUGAAAUCCGUAGAUAUUAGGAGGAAUACCGAUGGCGAAGGCAGCUCUCUGGCUCGUAACUGACACUGAGAUUCGAAAGCGUGGGUAGCAAACAGG
rnacentral:rRNA from 1 species